CAAAAAAAUCUAAAUUUUUAAUAUAUGAUUAAUGUAAUUGUGUAACUUAUUUUAAUAGUAAAGAAACAAAAAUGAUAGAAAGCAUACAAAUUAUUAGCAAAUCUUCAUUAUUUAAAAUCAUUAAUUACUAUAUAUAUCAUAAUCACGGAAAUAAUAUAUAAUAAAUAGCCACAUUUCUUUAGUUAAUUUCAUAUAAUAUCAUAUAGUUGGUAUUAAAUGUUUCUAAUGAGAUAUAAAAAUGGAAUUUGACCAAUAUGUUUUUCAAUUUCAACGAGAGGCUAACACGUAUGAUUAAUUAACUACCUAAUUAAUUGACAUAAGCAAAUGAUAUUUUUUAAUUAUUACAAAAUUAAGGUUACAUCUUUUCAAAUGUUUCUCAAUUAAUAUAAAGGGGCUAAUUUGGGAGCUUCUAAGGGGUGUCACAUGGGCAAAAUAAUCCCCACCUAUCAAACUGCCAUGUCACUAGCAGACUGGGCUUCGAAUUAAAAUUGCAAUAAAUUGCAAUAAAAGGUUUGGGCUUCGUUGCCGGUGGGCCAGGUAAAGAAUGAAUCGAAUGAAAUCGAAAUCAAAUGAAUGAAUCAAUUGGCUACGAUUUGUCGGUAGGCCAGGUAAAGAACAAUCUCGCAUACCAGCCCAUUAAGUUAUUAACAUCUGCACUCUUCACGUAGAUACAUAAUCCCACGAGAAAACCUACUAACGUCGUUUGGUAAGAAAUCGUCUACGAUCAAUAAGCUGUACCCUUCGUCGCAAAAGCCAAUUAGCUGACUAUUUUUUUUGUGGUCGAUCUGACCAAUCAUUUUAAUAUUCUUCCUUUUGUUUAAGGAAGUGCUGUUCCCAACACUAUGGUCAAAUCAACCUCCAAAGAUCUUCCCCUUCUAGGAGAUAUUUAAUAUUUACAAGUUCAUUUUUGAAUCAAAAAUUAUUAGUAUUGAUAUAUUAAUUUAAUACUUAAAUCUAAGGAAGAUUUUCCUUUCAGAUAGUACUGAUUUUUUUUUUGUAUUUAAAAAUACAAACUAUGAACCGUAUUAAUUUUACAACAACAUAUUUAUAUUUUACAUUUUUUAAAUAAAACAUCAUUAGUAUUUAUUAUUCAACCAAUAAUAAAAUAUAAUGUAUACUAAAUAACUGAUUUUACAUAAUGUUGACAUUACUUCUUAAAGUUCCUUUUAUAUACGCCAAUGUCGCCAUACAACUCCCUAAUACUGCUCAAAACAUUUCGUAGUUGCAGUAUGAACUGGAGGGGAGCGUAAAUCUCUGUCCAUGGCCAGAUCAUGGGCCGAGGAGGAGGAAGGAAAGAGAGCUACAGAAUUUACUGCUCCGCCUUGAAAGUUAGGUUUCCAUGUCAGUUCUGACGUUGUUGGCCUUUUUCAUCAGACAGAGGAACACUAGGUAGAUUUUAGUUUUGGAAGCCUUCCAUUUGAUUGGAAUUUGUCUCCAUCUUAUUUAGGGCUGGGAAAAAACCCGGAUCCGAAGAACCGAACCGAACUCGAUCCAAAAAAAUAGUAACAAUCCCGAACCGAAAUUGAUUAAAUAUCCGAACAGGUUCAAAAUUUCGGUAUCUAAAGAAUCAAAACCGAACCCGACCCGAACCGAAAUAUCUCGGAUACCGGAAUGUAACCGAAAUAGAUUUAUAUACCUAAAUAUAUUACUUAUUUUUAGAUUUAAUAUACAUUAAAAACAUCCAAAAAAUAUAAGAUACUUUUAAGUUGUCUAAAAUACUUGAAAAUAUACAUAAAUAGUCAAAAAGUAAAUGUCUAAAAUAGUUAAAAUAUAAUCAAAACACCAAUACUUGAAAUAUAUAUUCAUUUUCUAUCCAAAUAUUCAAAUCAAGCCAAUUUAUAUGUUAAUUUUAGGUAUUUUGACAUAUAUUAUACAAAUUUAUAUGUAAUGUAUUAUUUCAUUUUAUAGAUUCUGAGAAAUUUUAAGCAUAUAAUGAAUAUUAAAAUUCUAAAAAUAAUUUAAAUGGGUUAUCCGAACCCGAACCGAACCGAACCCGCAAAGAUCCGAACCGAACCCGAACCGAAAUUUAGAAAUACCCGAAUGGGUCUGAAAUCUUUAAACUUGAAAACCCGAAACCCGAUUAGAUCCGAACCGAACCUGAAUGGAUACCCGAACGUCCACCCCUAAUCUUAUUCAGUGUUCCCAAUUUUUUAUAUCACAGUGUUGCAAUUGUAAUUAACAUAGUGUGAAAAUGCUGUUUUUCCUUUCAAAGCACGAGAAUAGCAAAAAAAAUAUUGUUUUUAAUUAUAGGAAGCUGCUCGCUACUCCACCUUGUGUCCGUAACUCUCCUCUCCAUUAUGCCAUCGCCUAAAGCCACCAACGAGUCCACUUUGAUGCAAGCUUGCCAACAUGGUCAUUGGGAGGUUGUUUGAUUCUCAUUCGUUUUGGUGCUAACCAGGAUAUUGCUUUCGGAGUAGAUACCAAGUGUCCCCAACUGCUGGAGCCUGUUGAAGAGUAACAAAUCCUCUGUUUCUGGAUUUGAUCAAAGUGUUCUUCACGAAGUGAUAAACGGAGCAUCAGAUAGAGGAAUAACACUGCUUCGUGUGUCGGCUCUUAAGGGACACAUAGAGACGGUGCAGUUACUCUUGGAUUGGGAGCUUUUGUUGCUCAGGUCAUUGUGGAAGAUGGAACCACAAGAGAUCUUAUAAUUUUAUUCUUCUAACGGAGGUUUAUCUGCAUACUUUGGAGAUUCAAAGAAGCACAUAAUAAAACUGCACAGGUUUGCCUCAAUCAAGUUUGUAGUUUUAAAGAAACCUGAUGGUCUAUAUCCUGUUGUUAGUGGAAAAAGUAAUGUCACUAAGGUGACAAGAAACAGAGCAUUAAGAAAAUGCGUUGGUAGAGAAAACUGGAGAAAACAUAAACAUAAACUUUGGUUCUGGAUAUUCAAGAGAUUGGAAGUUUGGAGGUCAUAAAAGGAGAGUUAACACUAGAUGGAACAACAAGAGUGACAAGGAUAAAGAAAGAAGACAAUUCUUGCCCGUCAUUUGCUUAUCCGUAUAAUCUAAGAAACAGAGGUGAUCCAAGUUCUGGUGAAUAUAGAAGAAAGAAAAUACUCAGACGUUUUGGUAUGUUGAUGCACAUUAAUGUUUUUUUGUUUUGUCAACUUGCAUAGUAAUUGAGUAGAAGAGAACAGGAAACUUGAAAGUAUAUAUAGUAGUUAAGUAGGAGGGAAUGCAAAAUAUGCAAGUGUAUCAAAAGGUCAUCUUUGCGGUUAACACAAAAGCAAGAAUCCGUGAUAGGUGUAACUAUGUUUAAAAAAAAUGUUAGUUUAUAUUUUACCAAUUUUUUUUGGGAAAAUUGCUAAAAGAUAACAAAAAAACAAGAUUGUUGUCUCCUUGAUAUAAAACCAACAUGAAGUUGUCUCAAUAGUAUAAUUUUUUUAAAAACUUAAUGGAAAAAAGGAAAAAAAAAACAUUUGAAAUGCAAUCGAAAAAAAAAAAAGAAAAAGGAUAUAGAUAUGCAUCAUAGAGAACAAGAAUUUGUAAGAAGAAUCAAAAGAAACACUAUAGAAAAGCCAUAGAUUGAUGAAGAAGAGAAGGGAGAAUCGUUUUUUUUAAAAAAAAAUCAAGUAAAAUCGACCAUAACACAUUUUAGGAAGUUAGAAUAUUUUUCGGAGAUUUUUAGAAUAUUUUCUUAACUGAAAAUUCAUUAAUUUUUGCAAAAAUCAUGUAUUCUUUUCCGUAGAAGGUGACUUCUAAAAGUUUAGAAGAAUGAUAAAAAUUCUGAAUACACUUUCUACUUUGAGUAGACGUAAGAGUACAUUGUAGAAAACACAUUCCCCGAAAUUUAGAAUACUUUAUAAAAGUAGAAGAUGCAUUCGGAAAGAAAGUGGAUACCUUUACGAUUAGUAGAAUGCACAUUCCUCUUUUUUAGAAAUUUAGUAAAUAGUAAAAUGAGUGUUCUAAAAGAAGUAGAUGAACGUGUUUAUUUUAGAAAUCGUUUUCUACUAUACAAUUUUUCGUAGAAGACGCAUUCUACUUUUAGUAGAACGUAUUUUAAAAAUCUUAUUUACCAUGUUUUUGAACAAAAGAAAAUUAUCAGCUUGUGUAUAUGGAUGUUUUAUUAAUUGUUUAUAUUUUUAAUAAUUUUUUUGAUUCACAAAAUUAUUUAUUUCAUUAGCUUUCAGAAAUACAAAGGGUAAAAAGAAGAAAAAUGGACAGAAUUAGUUUUAUACCAAAAGGACAACAACCUGUUUUUUUUUUCUUUUUUGGCAAUUUUUCCAUAAAAAAAUUUAGUUUAUAUCGGUGUGUACAAAAAAUGUUGACUGCAUGUCAAUUUGUGUUGAAAUAAAUAAAGUGGAUCAAAUCUGUUACCAUUAAAAAUAUGUCAUAAUGCAAUGUUAACAUAAAUAGUUUUAAAAAGAAGAGAUAAUUACACUUAAAAUGAAACUUAAACUAAGUUAAUACAGCAAAAUAAAUUGGAUAUGAACAAAUUGAAAUUAUAUCCAAUCUAUUCACACGGUAUUUUAUUAUGAAUUAUUUUAUAGAUUUACAUCUAAGCAAACAAACAUUAGAAUGAAAAUUGUAAUGUAAAAAAGUUAGAGCAAACAAAACAGGGAAGUUUUUGUAAAUAUUCUGACAAAAUUUGUAAACAAUAUAUAUACAGAAGAUUUUAAGAAUUUAAUAAAAAAUGAAAAACACAUUAGAAAAGAAUAUCCAAAUAUAGUGAGCAAUUGCUUAAAAUACCAUAAUUUAGAUACAUUUUAAUAUUACUUUCAAGGAAAAAUAUUAUAGUAUUUGAGAUUCAGUUUAGUAAUUAUUAUUUAUUAUUUAGUUUUUAUUAUUCAUAUGAUGAGUUUAUAAAUUUGGGGGGGGGGGGGGGGGGUCAAUUGGAGAAUUCAUGUAUCAGCAUACAUAAAUAUACAACCAACGCUUAGUAUCUAAUAUCUAUAAUGUCUUCUAUCUUUGUUCUUGGAAAAUCGAUGAUGAAAAACAGGAACCUCAUGAAAACUAAUAAUAUUUUAAAAAUUAUAUCUAGCAGAGAACAAUAUUUAGUAGAGAUAUUUAGUCUUAGUAACAUAAGAACCUCAUGAAGCCUUUGAUUGGUAGACGCCUUAAAAUUUAAUUAUUUCGCUUUAGAAUAUAAGUUGCAAGUUUCUAUGUUGUAGCUAUAGAAUCUAUUGAUGCAGAUUUCAAAGUACUAAAUAUACAAUUUUAAAAAAUUUGAUUUUCAUAGCCAAUCUAUUUUUUUCAAUUUAAUUGUACCUUUAAAUUGUUUUCUUAGAGCAUGACUGGUAAAUUAAAGUAGUUGUGGAAAAAAGUUUGGAAAGCAUUUAGAGUACUUAAUUACCAAUCACCUUCGAAAACUAUUGUAUUUUUCUCAACAUUUGUGAAAUUUCAGAAAACAAUACUCAAUAAGCAAUUAACUAUUUACCUUUGAUUAAUAUAUUUACAAAAAAAACAAUUUAUAGUAUCCAAAAUUUUUGAAAUUGGAAGAAAAGUUUUCAGCAACCCCGUUUUAGAUUUCAUGUAUACUUCUAGAAAGAUUAGUUUUCUUGGUAAGAACUUACCCUAUUAGCCACUAAUUAUACAAUAUGAAUCAGAAAGAUAGAAUGAACAUAAGAAUUAAAGGAAAUCAAAAUUUUAAAUGACUUAAAUUUUAACCUGUUUUUCUUUUGCUGUGAUAAUAUUUUAAAUAACUCUUUCUAUCAUUAUUUACGUUUUGCAUUCUAAUAAUCAAACUUUAUAAUUUACAUCUAUCAUAGUUUCCAAUACUAUAUAUUUUUUAUAUAAUAACAUAACAUUUUAAAAUAAAUUAUAAUUUAUGAAAAAAAACCCGGACGUAGCCCAGAAAAAGCUCUAGUAAAACAUAAAAGUUAGUCAAUAAGCCCAAUGAACAAAACACUACACGCAGAAUCUUAUACAUAAAAGCCAAACACAAUUUUUUUAUUGGGUCCCAUAAUAUGCCUACGUAGACAUGCUUAGGAGAGAGCACAAACUUUUCUAUUAUUCUCUCCGUUUUUUAAUAUAACUCGUUUUAAAAUUAUGCACAUAGAUUAAGAAAAUCAUUAAUUUUUUAUAUUUUCUAAACAAAAACAUCAUGAAUUAUUUACCUAACCACAAAUAAACCAAUAAUAAAAUAGAAGGUUAUUAUCAUUGGUCAUAUAACAUUAAGUGUUAAUAAAUUUUACAUAGAAAACUGAAAACGUCAUAUAAUUUGCAACACAAAAAUUUCUCUAAAAGAACUGUAUAUUAAAAAAUGGAGGGAGUAUAAUAUACACUAGGUGUUUGUCCGCAUUUCGCGGGUAGUUAUAUUAUAUAAAGAAAUAUAUAUUAUCCUUACACUGUUAUAAUUUUUGAAUAAUAAAUAUAAAUUUAAAAUUUUAAUUUUUAAUUUCAAAUAUUUGGAUAAUCAUAUUUUUAGAAGAUCAUAAACCUUAGUCAUUAAAAAUCUUUUGUUAAAAAAAAUAUUAUAAUUAAUUCAGAUAAUUGGUUGUAGAAUUACUUUAUAUUUAGUUUAACACAUAAAAAACCAAAAAUACCCUAGCUCUCAAGAUAAAAAAAAAGAGAGUGUGUGUUUUUUGUGUAACUCCAAUGACCAAUACAAUGAUCCGAAGCUUUUAUCAUGAAAUAUCUUUUGUAAACGGUUUUGUGUGGGCUUUAAAAAUAUAAAACUUAUAAUAAUUCCUUACCUAAAAAUAUAAUUAUUUUAUAUAAUAAUAUAUAACCAUUAAAUUUAUUUCUGUAAAUAAUGCAAAAGUAUUUUAUUUAAUUAUAUAUAACAAAUUGAUAAAAAUAAAGAAAUUGAUAAAACAUAUAUAUUCUUUCUGUAAUUCUACAAUCCCUUAUAUAUAUUAAAAUAGGAACAUUAUUAAGAAUAAACCUUGUCUUCAUGUGUGCUUUACAAGAGUAACAUUUACACGUGGCAGUUCUACAAUCACUCUCAGCCCUUUUAUCUAAUAAGGAUUAGUUUACUAGAUUAAUUACAUGAAUUGCCAUUGAUCAUAUUAAUUAGUUUCGAAUAUAUUGUAUACUAUUGUAUGUUACGAAUCAUUUAUGGUAUAUUCAUAUAUUUGCUAAUAAAUUACGUUUCACAAUAUAACAAUUGUUUUCUUCAAAUUUUAAAUAUAUUUGCAUUAUAAAUUCCAAAUAUACUAAGUUAUGUAUAUACAAUUUUCUUAUUAAGAAUAAUAUAUGUCAUCAAAAAGAUAGUCAAACAACUUUUAAAUGUUCGCAAAGUAUACAUUUUUAUUAAGUCCAUAUAUUUACGAUUUUGAUUAUAGUUUUAAUUUUAUCAAUACCCAUGAUGUAUAUAAUCAACAUUUCAAAUAGUUUUUAAAUUACAAUAGUUUUAUAUGGGUACAUGUUAGAUAAUAUUUUAUAUGAAUAUAUGAAUAAGAAAUCAAUAAUGAACGGAAACUAAUAUUAAAAAAACAUUUUUAAACAUUUUUAAUAAUCAAUAUUUCAAAUAUUCCAUUAAAAAAAAUCACUUUCAACAUGGAUGAUUGGAAAGUGAAUAUUUGAAAUUGUAAUCACUAAUUCUAAUCACACAUUUAACAAAGGCAAUGCGCCAAUCAUAAUAUUAGGUAAUCUUUGUUUUGUUUUUUUUUAAUGGUUUUGGCAAUGUUUUUUUCUAUAUGUUUUUAAAAAUUGUUUAUCUUUUCUAUUAUGAGUAACAGAAGACAAACUGAUCUAAAUUUGCUUUAUUCAUUACUCAAACAGUUAUACUAUUUAGUAAGUGUAUAGCUAAAGAUUGUGUGUGCAAGUAUUGUUUGCUCUCUAUUAUAAAGUCCAUUGAUGUAAAAUCGAGACUGAUCUCCAAUUUCAUUCAAAAAAGAAAUCCAUAUAGAUGCUCAGUCAAUCUCUUAAUUUAAGCACCUUGACUUUGUAAUUAGGAAAUCAUCAUAAAUGGUGAUAGAUAAAUUAGAAGUCAAUUUAAAAUUUUGAAAUGAUUAAGUUUAUGGUCAAAUAUCAUGAUUAAUAUAUUGUUUCAUAUUUGUUUUCCUUGCAUAUAAUACUUUCCAAAAAUUGAAAUUUGGAAAGGAGAAAUCAAGGAUUUUAUGAUUGAAUUAUGCUGAAAAUAUAAUCAUUUCACCAAAAUAAAAUGCGUUUAAACAUCAUAUUUUGUGACUAUAUAUAUCAUACUAAGCUAAGAGCUUAGGCAUCACAUGAACAAUGUGUGUUAAACCACUUAGUUAAAGAGCUCGAUAUAUUACCAUUAGUUUAAUUAUUUACUUUUAACAUGGAUAGCUCACUUCAUUUGAAAGUCAAUAUUCAAUUUUUUAAUCCAUUUACUCUAUGCAAAGGGUUUCAAAUUGUCAUUUCAUAAUUUAUUUCAUAAUUUAUUUUAUAUUAAUAUUUGCUUAUUCUUAUUGAUUUACUUGCAUGAUAAAAUAUUUCAAUUAAACAAAACAAAUAUACAAGUUAAAAAAAAACCAGAAUUUAUAUUGACAUACUAAAUUUUGUUUAAACCCAUAUUUUAUAACAUGUAAUAUUUCGUUCUAUAACUUUGAUAUCGACAUAUUCAAAGUGAUUAUAUUUUUAAAUCUAUUCACCCUGCGCAAGGCGCAGGUUAUCACCUAGUUAGUUAUCAUAAAUCAUUAUUUAUAAUAUCAUUUGUGUUAUUUGGUAAUUUGUAUUAAUUAGUACUAGAAUUACAUUUAUUUUUAGAUCUGAUUAAAAUAAGAGUCAUUUAGGUGAAUAACCAUAAAAGGAGUGGUAAUUAAGUAUUUGACCAUGUUGUUUUGGAAAAUUAUAAGAAAGGUGAAUAUUCCAUUUAUACCCCUACACUUAGGUCGAUAGUAUUAGCUGACAUUCUCUGUGCUAAACCUAUGCUCCCCUAUUGGCUACUAGAGAGUGACCUACUACACGCAAGUAAUGAUGUCUGAGAUAUUGUUAUAUUCUAUACGGUUCUUCAUCGGGAACUCAAAACGUUUCAAUUGGUUAUCGACAUACUAAAAAAAAAUUAUAGCUGGGGUGGUCAUCUUUAAACGAAAAUGGCGUCGUCUCCCAUAGUUGACAUCGGAGAUAACGUAAUUCAAAAUAAUAUGGGGUCGUUACCGGAAAUGAUGUUUGCUGCCGGAGAAGAGCCCGUCGGAGUCAGGGUUCUGACCUACCAAUCAUCUCGAGCGAUAAAAAAAAAUAAUCAAAGGGCUUGAUGAAGAAGAAAUACUCUCUAUACGGGCAUCGUCUUUUGGGAAGAUAAUCGACAUUGGAGAUAAGCCAUCGUUUUCGGGAAGAUUCGCGAGGUACAUGAUGUCAAGGCAGCUGAAGGUAAAGAAGAAGCACGAGGUGUGGUUUAGGUUUGCCGGACAGCCGAUUAGGUUCUCGCUGCGAGAGUUUGCAAUAGUAACUGGGCUUCCAUGUGGUACAUUUCCACCUAAAUCGAAGAUGAAGAUUAAAGAGACUAUUACUGAGAAGCCAUACUGGCCUUCGUUGUUUGGGAAAGUGGAGGUUGUGACUGUAGCUUCCGUAAUCAAGAUGCUCCACCGGAGAACAGUAAGGGAUAGAGAAACCCGGAUUAAGUUUGCAUGUCUGGCUAUUCUCUCUUCUGUCCUGCUGCCUACAAGCCUGAAUAUGAAGAUCUCCAGAGAGCAUGCUGAGGCCAUUGAGGAUCUGGAUGACUUCUAUUCAUUCCCGUGGGGGAGAUUGGCGUACGAGAUGCUGAUGAAUAGUAUAAAAGAAAGAGAUGAGAUCUCACUGUCGCAAAAUACUAUUGCCGUGAAGGGCUUCGCUCUAGCUCUUCAGCUAGUACUGGUAGAAGCUGUACCCUCUUUAACAGAAGUAGUCCAAGAAACAUGUUCUUCUUCAGAAUCAGAAAGCGCGGACGAUGUUGAGGAAGGGUCUGAAAGGUCAUCAAAAAAGCAAACGCUAAGCCCUGCUCACGCACGUAACCUCGACAAGAAAACUGAGGUUGUGUAAUAAACAAUUCUUAUCGAAGAACAACCGAAAAUAUAUAUAAAGUGUUAUUAUUAUGUUUCUCAGGUGGUGGUUUAUGUUGCAUUGCAGGUGUAUGUGAAGAGCAUAAUUGAUGAAGAUCCAAGCCGACCAUUGGAUGAGAGUACGCUCGGGUGGUCUGAUGAUGUGGAAGAUGUUGGGGUUGACAAUCUAGUGAAGCUUAUAAAUGAAGGCUAUAAGUUUAGUGCCUCUAUGUUUAAAGGUGGAGCCACAAAGGCUGAUGUGGAGAGGAUGAGAGAGGAUGCAAAAGUACGAGGUAAAGAGAAGAAAAGUAGAAAAGCACCAGUGAAACCAACCGGUGUAGAUGGAGGAAAUUGUGAAGUUGCUGCUGUUUUGAUGGAUAUGAUAAAGCCGGAUCUGGAUAGGAUUGAUGGGAAUGUGUCAUCUACAAUGAGAGCCGUUGAUGAUAUGAUCACAAAGAUAGGAGUGUGGCAUGGGGCCAUAAAAACAGAGGUGGGAGAAUGGAUGGGAAAAAUAAAAGAGGAUAUUCAGGGGCAGAUUAGCUUGGCUCUUAAAGAAGCAGUUGGACCAUCAACACAUCCUCCAGGAGUUCCUAUAGUCACACCAACUGCCCCGAUAAAUCCAGUAGGUGGAGGAAGUGUAGAGGAAGCGUUUUAUCGGGAUACCAUCCGAAACAUUAUGGGGAGCAUCGAACAGUACAGGACGCCUCCGCGCCAGAACAUCCAGGUUCAGGUGAGUAUGAAACUAACUAAUUUACUAAUAAUGUAGUUCCCGGGUAAUGAGUUAAUAGAUUAUUUGAAACACAUAAUUAGGAGGUCGGCGUUGUUGAUGGACGUCAAGACGUUGGAGCCGAGGCCAGCGUCCCUAUUGUUCCAGAUAACGACGGGACUGCUCUAUUAGCAUCGAGCCACACUCAUAUGAGGAAGGAUGUUGUCGAUGAGAUAAAGGUCAGUUUGUAAACUCAUGGUGUCUUGCUACAUAUAGGAGAUGGUGAUUGAGAAUGAAUUUGUAAAUAGAAGAUGACAUAAUUAUGGUUACUAGGUAACCGACAAUGCGACAAAGGAACAAGCACCUGCCACUCCUAGUUUUUCACUCGGUCUCACUCAGCAGGAGAUAAGUCCUUGUAAUGAGCAGUUUGGGACAGUAAGGCUAGCUGCAGAUCUAAAUGUUGCGCAUGACGAAGGGAAGGAGGAUGUGGAGGCAAAUAACGUGUGUAGGAAAAGCAAGAGACAAAAAAUAUUUCCCACCAAUUUGAUGGCCGAUUACGAAUGCGGACAUAACAUAGUGGGUCCUGGUCGUCAAGCCCCUGUGUUGCUGUUUGUGUCGUCAAACAGUGAAGAUACUCUAACAAAGUACCAGCAAUUAGGGGAGAAGCUUCUGACCUCAUUGUAAGUAAAUAACCGGAUCAGACAUUAAUUAUGUGUAUCCAGCUUCUGUUGUAUACAACCGGAUUUAAAGGGCGGUUUUAACGCAAUGCUUGGUUUUGUAGUGUUAUCAAUGUGGCCGGACUAUCCGUAUCGGAUAAGGACAUUAAGGACAUUGCUGAAAGAUCCCGUCCUCUCACCGCAAAGAUUGUCGAUCUACUCACCCGUAUACUCCGUACAGUUCAAGACAAACAUCUAAUCAGUGAAAGGAGUACAAGAGAUGAGUUCUUUGAUACCAAAUUUGCUGGAUCUCUGGCAAGAAAUUACUCCAAGUUCGCCAAGUGCAAGAACAAAGAAGGUCACGUGUUCCCAAAAGGUACAUUGGAUUUUCUAUACAAUACAAAGGAUUCAAUAUGUAUGAUACGUCGGUUUUACCUGCCAUUCAACUUUGACAAAAAACACUGGGUGGGAGUUUGUAUUGACUGCGAGAAGUGGAAAAUCUAUGUCCUCGAUUGCAACACGUCGAUUAAGAGUGACAAGGAUAUUGUGAAAGACCUUACACCCAUAGCGGAGGCUUUUCCGUAUCUGCUCAAACAGGCGUGUGGGUCGGCCUACGAGGAGAAUUUAGAUCCAAUGGUUAUUGAGAGGGUAAAAGGAGUAGGACAAAACAAGGAAGAAAGCGUCUCCGGCAUUACUGCAAUGUUGCUAAUAUGGAAUCAUUCAAUUGGAGGGUUGGAGGGUUGCCGAUCAGUCAAUGCUGAUCAUGUAAUCUUAGAAGCAAAGGGGGCAGCUGUGAUGGCAUAUGAGCUCCAUGAGGAGCUGAAGUGAUAAGAUCAGUUAAUGUGUAAACUUGUUUAAUUGCCUCGUAUUUUGAAUUAUGUUUGGAUUUUCAGUGUGUUUUCGGUUAAUGUGUAUCUCUGACUUGAUGAAUACUUGGUUUAUGUAUGAAAAUUGAUGCAUGUUAUCGUGGUUUAUGUAUGCCUAUUUAGUGUGUUGUGUUCAAUAAUGAAUUUUAGAGAUUGUGUAUCAGAAUGUGAUCCGGAUUUCCUAGGUUAUAUUCCGAUUAAUAAUACAUUAAAUCCUUUAAGAAAUUACAAGGACUGGAUUUAGUGGGCAUGUAUGAUCUCUAUGAUCCGGAUUAAGUUUCUAAAUGACUCUUUUCAGAAUAGGAAUGGUUCAAGCUUUAGGUGAUAUUAGUUGAUCGAAGUGUGAAGGAUAUUGAUCAAACAUGGUGAUAUUUAUAGUUGAUAUGCGUGAUUGUAUGAAAAGUAGAACCGUAUUUGGUGGGUUGAGUUCUGAUUAAAAAUGAAUUAAAUGCUAAAUGAGUCUACCUUCUAAAAAUUAUGAAAAUGACUGUGUCAUUUGUUAACCAUGAAUUGAAAUCUGUGAAUAGCAAACUAAUACUUGUCGAAAUUAAUUAGAUUUAAGUGAAUUGAACCAUGAAUUGAACUCUGGAUAUAAAGGUUAUACACCUAAAUUACUCUUUCCCACGUAUUGAGUGUUUUUUGUCAUAACCAACUAAAAAUGUAUUCGACCAACUAUACUCAUUGAAUAACUGGAUUGCAAUAAAAUAACCGGAGUACCAUCAAGGAUAUGUUUUGGUAGAACCAGAUAUGAUACGUAAAUAUAUGUACAAUAUCCGGACUUGUGACCUUGAGAUUUAAAAAAUUUGGAUUUCGAUAGUUUGUGUGGGUGUAAUAUGAGUGUUAUAACAUUCAUCGAAGAAGAAGCUAUGGGAAAAUGGAUGGAUCUUUAUUUAUAAUAUAGUCUCGGGUAAUAAUACAAUCCUGCCACUACCAUAACUGGUUAUUAUAUUUCACAUAAAUGAUUAGGAAUCAUAAUCCUAAUGCUGCCCAGCAACAGCUACCACCGAUCUUGCCUUACACCUUCAUCAUCCGAGUCGACCAUCUUUCCCAUAAACAUACUCCGAAAUAACUUAUAUUGGCAUCUUGCAAGUAGCCUUGUUGUGACCACUUGCCUUACAGCGGCUGCAUAUGUGUUUCUUCCUCUGUGGCUUCAUCUGCAAUAAACAGUUAUAGUUAUGUAAGAGUUGUACAAGUUAUUUAGAAGGGAAUGAUAAUUGGAAGUCUUACCCUGAUUUCUCCACGAGAGAGGAUUCUGGAUUUCCUUGGACGACAAGGAGGGCGUCUAGUAGUUGGCGGAAUUAACUCGACAUUAGCAUCAGUAACAACAUCAUCAGUAUGGAUCUCAAGAGGCACUGGAGUGGGAGCUGAGUCCGUAACCGGUAGUAUGUCCAUAUCAUAAGCAACCAGUAGAUUCUCUAGAGUAUAUAUAUAUAUAAUACAGAAACUUUUGUCAAUGCAAGGAUUACUAAUAUUGAAACAGGAUAUUACGACAUGAAAGAUAAAUGAGAUCACGAACCUUCGCUAUUGCGUAAUAAAUCGAAGAGUGGCGAUCCGAGACAAAUACCAAAUCCUCAGACUGUGGUACGACCUCCAAUAAGUUUUCAAGGAACCACUCUCAUGCCUUGUCGUUCUCGCCAUCGACGAUCGCAAUAGCUAAUGGAUAAACUUGGUAGUUUCCAUCUUGAGCGCACGCGGACAAAAGGCAUCCAGCGUAUUUUCCCCGGAGAUGUGAUCCGUCAACGAUUACAACUUUCCUUAGAUACCUAUACCCUUCAAUGCAUGCUCCAAUCGAAAUGAACAAGUACUUGAAUCUUUGGCCAACUCCAUCCUCAAAUUCCGUAUGUAAAGCUGUCUUCGUCCCUGGAUUUGCUUGAACCAACUGCUUCAGGUAGUCUGGAAUCAGGUUGAAAGAAGCGCCAGAAUAUCCUUUAGCAAAGUCCAGAGCAAUUUGUCUAGAUCUCCAAGCUUUCCAAUAUGAAAUACGGACAUUGUGGUCACCUUGCAUGACCUGUCUUAUUUCUUCAGGACGAGAUCCAGCGCCACUACUGCCAAACAUGGCUUUCAUCAUCUCCCCAAUGACCGAAUGUGUAGCUUGGCUUUGAUACCCUACACGUAUCACGUGUUUAGACAGUUUGUAAUUUACUGUUUUUUGGAUAAUAUGGAAUUGUAGUAGUAAGGAUAAGCAGUUGUGUAAUACCAGCACGUGAAUCAACAGAACACGUGUGUUGCAAGUCAACUCUUCGAAUUUCGUAGGAAGUUACGUUUUUCAUCCUUUUGGCGUAUACACGCCAGUUACAAGUGCUACUAAAGCAUCGUAAGACCAUCCCAUCUGGAGAAGACCUUGAGUUACGAAACCAGAAUUUAUUUUUGAUCGCAUACUUGGCCAUGUGGUGUUUGAACUCUUCCCUGCUUUUGAAAAUCAUGCCGACUUAUACAAUGUCGUCUAUUGGUUCCUUUGAUCCUACAAAUUUUCCAUAACUGAUGUUGAUUAGAAAUCAGUAGAUGUUUGUAAAUAAAUCUAAUUGACACUCAUGUGGUUUGACUAUGGUUUAAUGAUUUAGUAACAUAGAUUGCAUUACGUAAACUGAAGACAUGAAAAAGGUACAACAUUGCUAUCCAGUUUAAAAGACAUCAAUCCGGCUAUGAAAGGACACAUAUUGAAACAAAAUCCGGAUUUACUCCGCCGCAAAUAUUAAAAGUAAACAAGCAAACAUAGAUAUAAGACCCUAGCUUCAUCAUAGUAAAACAUGCAAUUAGCUCCAAAUCUAUUGAGUCGGACCAAACCCACCAUCAUUCUCGUCGGUGUUAUAGGAUGAGUCCCCCAAGUUGACGUAACUACUCCCCGAUCCAUUUUUGUUAUCAGUAUCGAGACCCAAACGCAGAUCAAGUGAAGGACCACUGCCACUCCCACUUCCUUGCAUGAAAGACUGAAGCAGGUUUCUGUUUGGUAGAGCGGGCGCAUUGGACGUGCCACCUGUGGAAAAAAUAUUGAAUGAGAAGGAACAUUAAUGCGUAAUUAUAUAUUGGAAAAAUAGGAUUUAUUGGAAAUGUGCAAACUACCUUGUUCAAAUGUUCCUCCACCAACAGGUCGAUGAGGUGAGUGAACCGGAAUCCCUAACAGCAGGGGCGUCCUGAUAUGAGUGAUAUCAGCAAUGAGUCCAUCAGACGAGCCAGUUUGUGAACCGGAGCUGUCUCCGUCGCUAAGAAGCGUAACGGUUGCUCUAGCUGUCAUCUGACAUGGCUUUGCGGGCUGGGAUAGUGAUAAAAGACCUUGUGUUGGUCUCGGCUGGGGGGGAGGAGGAAUUGGGUCAUCAUGCAUACCAUCCCAGAAAUCGUCGUCGUCAUCACUCGUUUCACCCCACGCAUUUGGUAGACGUGGGAGACCCCUUCCUCUCUCGAUGUCUAGACUGGCACCUCUAAAUAUAUCAGAGGAAUGGUCUGGAGAGAUUGGGUUUAAUGGCUGAGAAUCAAAACCCGGAGGUUGAGUUGCGGUCACUACGUUACAAAGUAUAAGGAAAAAAAGAAUCGUUAGUUACAUUGAAUGUGAUAAUCUGGAUAUUGUAUAAUAAUUUGAUUACAUAAGACCAAAUGUGGAUAUUUGUUAAAAUAUUCAGAUGUGGAGUGAAAAUCCGGAUUAGACAAAAAAGGGUUAUGUGAUAUUAACAAAACGUACCGUUAUUGAAUGGAUGAAGUGGCAAUACUCGAUGCGCAUGAUUGUUGGGGCCCUGAAGUGGUAACGUUUGGUACGGUAGUUGGGGAGGAGAAUGUUGAAUAUCGUCAUCACACGCGAGUGCGGCGUCUAUCUCCAUUGCCAUACAAUAAACAAUUAUCAGUUGCUGUUCAUCGAAUAGUAGCUCCAAGACACUCUUAGCGCAUCUUAUGGGAUCGCCUCCGGCUAGAUCUUAAUCAAAUAACACUGGCAUGUUAGUAUGUUUGCUAUUUUUAAAAAGUCAAUGAAUUAAUUGAAUAAAUAAUCGCCACGGUUUAAAGAAGGAACGUUACCCCUAAUAGCAUGACGGUGUUGAACUUCCGUUGUCCCGUCGCCGAGGAAGGUCAUAGAGCCAACUGUAAAUGGAGAUCUACAGUGGAACUGGUGUUUGGCAACAUUCUGUGGACCGAAUGUGACAUUAAGUGUAGGGUCCGGGUCGUAAACCCUAACACUCGUCAUCACCUCAACAUCGUUGUUGGUACGAAUGGUGAAGGGGGGGGGGUUCUGUUGCCCUCAGGUACGAGCAUCCAUUAAGGGAGCUGAUAUGUUAGAACGAGAGGUGUGGUUUGAUUCAACAUAAGCCUCGCCCUAACCAUGUUGGUCAGAUCUUCACAGGUUUUGUUCUCUCUGACUAAGAGAGUUUCACCAAGGUAAACUGAUGAUGAUUCAAAACGCCAGUCUCCGAUUGCUGUUUUGGUCCACACACCUUGAAGGAGACGCAAAAGCAUCACCAUCUGAGACAAACAUUUUUGAAAUAACAUAAUCAGAAGUGAGACGUUGUCGCUAUAUAGAGGGAAGAGAUAAGAAGUAAAUCAUGCAGAAGAGAAGAGAAUAUAUUUGCGACCCCACAAACUAUAAACGGACCGACAUCAUAAUAAAUGAUAGAAGUAAAGAUUCAAUAAGACAAACCUCAUCUUUAACUUCAAGUUCUCUACAAUAUUCGGAGGAAACAGAAGAAAACGGGUUUAAGGUUUCUUAAUGGAAACAGUUGAAAACGGAUUUAAGGUUUCUUAAUGGAACUGGAGUAGAUGCAGUGUGCAUUUAUAGCGAGAUGCAGUGCCUAUAUCCAGACACAAUAGCAGAGAUAGAGAUAUGGACACUGACAUAAUCAAGCUCAUGCAUUGGGUUAAUGCUUGCCGCCUACCAAAACAUAGGUGUAAUCAUUAUCUCUAGGAAUAGCUUGCACUCUGACACGCCAUCUUAAUAACGUUUUGAUUUCCAUUUUUUUUUGAGUUGUAGUUUCCAAGCAAACCAGAUUCGAAAUUGAAUCGACAACCAAUUUUAAACCAAAACCCGGUUAUUUUAACGGUAUCAAGCAAUUGAGCUGGAUAGAUUAGACGUGUAUGGUUUCUACUAGAAGAUAGUGGUGUAGUGCACGUGUCAAUAUUAGCAAACCCUGUGGCUUUCACGCGCCAACUCUCCUACUAGAUAUGUCCAAAACUCUGUCUUCACUUGUACUCUUCAUUUCUCACUUUUACCUUUACUGAAUCAAAAUGGCAAACUGUAACUCAUCUUCGUCAACUUCUGCUGUUUCGGUGCGUCAGUCUCAUGGUCCGCCGUGUCAUUGCGGAAGAGUUACUAAUAUGCUGAUGUCAUGGACUGAUGCAAAUCCUGGAAGACGAUUUUACAAGUGUGAAGAACAUGGAUUUGUAAUCUGGGCAGACGAUGAGAAGCCAGGAGGUUGGCAGAAAGAAACUUGUUGGAGGCGCGAGAUCAGAUCCGACGAUACCGAUCGGACAUCAACCGCCUCAACGUGUCUGUACGAGAAGCAAGAGAGCAACUGGUUCGUGAGCGUGCUCUUCGCGUGGCAGCUGAAACUGUAUCUGAUGUUGUUGAUCACGAGAUCUUCCAAGAAGAGCUUCUAAAGCGUGAAAAAAUGGUUAGACAAAUGUUCGCAAUGUCCUGGGGUGGUUUUAUUCUGAUGACUGCUACAAUAGUCUACAUGCUCAAGAACUAGAUCUACGCUUCUUGUUUAAGUCACGAUAAUAAUGUUUUAUCUUUCUCCCUAUGUCAUAUCUUUCUCGAUCCUUGUUUAAAGUAUGUUAAUCCUGUGUUUCCGGAAUGGUAAGUGGAAUAUUAUGUUUCUUGAUCUAAACUAUGGAGUUAUGAACUUUGAUUGUAAUAUUGCGAUCUAAUUAUAAGAAACUUUUGUUAUUCAUUUCUAUUCGAGUCUAAAUUCUAAUUUGUACACAUAUCGUCUAUUAAAAUUGUUAGUAUACAAUGUAGUCAGAUAGUGUAAAGAUACAAAUUACAUAACUGAAUCACGAUAAUUAACAUCAACGUACAGAAUCUUGAUCAUGUCGACUUUACAAUCGAAUUAUAUCAGCUUUACAGUACAGUUAUAACUAAAAAGGUGGACAGACCAAUUUUCGAAAAGGUUUUGGGUUAAUCAUCAUUGUUUAGCCGUUGUUCGUAAGCUACGCUCAGUUAAUUAAUAUAAUACUCAGAUUUGUCGAUAAUGAAAAAACAGUGUUAAGCAUGCGCUCCUUAUGGCCACAUAUUAAAAAUGUAUACGCAAAUCGAAUCCACUUGAACACUACAAAAAUCUGACACACUUUCUAGUUAGCAGACAAACCUAGAUAGCUACAAUACGACUUACGAUGACGACUACGUAUUAAGCUAAGCUUCGUCUAGGGUAUUACGGUAAUGUCAUGUAGUCAAUGUGACCAUUGAGCUAAUUAUAUAAAAACAUUACAUGGUCAGCUAAUAUAUAUCUCGUUCGUUACUACAUAGUGCAAAUACUCUUAAAAUAAUAACUAAUAAAUGUUAACAACCAAUCAAAUUAUAACUAUUUAAAAAAAAACUUAACCUAUUAAAGACACAUAAUCAAAAGUCAAUUAAGUGGCUUCUCAAUUCAUAUAUAUUAGGAUUUAUCUCUUUAUAACUAAGCAUAAAUUUAGUUAAGGUAAACAAACAUAAAAACAUGUAUUAGGAAAAUGGUAGUUUAAGCAAUUUUUCUCAUAAUUUGUUCUAAAUCACACUUUUUCACUCAUUUUUUUUUAAUUUAUUGUUUAACAUAAAACUCAAAUGGGUUAAGGAAACAAAUUCUUCCUUAAAUUAUCUCUGAUCAUCAAACUAUUUUAUCAAACACUAACUCAUUCAACCAAAUGUUUUUAAUUAAAACAAAUCAUAAUUUACAGAUCUUUUAAAAUUAUUGUUUAAUUUUUAAAUUAAAUUAAAACAUACCUAUAUUAAUUAAAUCUGAUUAACUAAUAAGUAAAAAUAACAUUUCAAUUUCUAAAUAACUAAAUGUCGUUAUUUUAGGCAUAUAUAAUUAAUAUUAAUGUGAGAUCCAAUAUUAUAUGAAAUAAAAUGUGUUUUUGUAUAAAUUUGGGCUUUUUUUCAAAUAUGGCCUAAAAUUUCAAGUCAAACACAAAAAUAACCUAUGCUGUUUUGAAUUUUUUUCAUAUUCACCCUAUAAAUUUGAGUUAUUCACAAAAAUGCCAUUACAUUUUUUUUCUUUUUUUUCGGAGAUGAUUCUUUUACCAUAUCAUCCUCAUCUUUACCAAGUAUUUACAAUAUUGUUAUUGCCAUCAAUACACUAACCACCAUGAAUAAUCAAUUUGAAGCUCUUAAUGCACCAACGUUUCGAUAUUUACUCUUCGUAUCUCAUUACUUAUGUACACCAAUCACAUCUCUUUCACUCUCUUUUCAAAUUCAUCCAAAAAACUAAGAUUUUGAUUCCAAGCUUUGUUAGGUUCAUAAAGACAUUGAAGCUCCUGAUACGUGGUCAUCAACGACUUGGUAGCUUUUGUUGUGAAGUUGUGGGUACUUGGAGAAACAAAACAAGUAAUCUCAGAGGCUCAAGAUAUGAAAUCAUUUUUUUUCUCAGAUCUGUUCGCGAAGACUUUCAGAAUAUUUUGAUAAGACUUUCAGAAGACUUUGCUAGAUGUGUUCUCCAUCGCAAAGACUUCCCUAGAAGUCUUCUAACUUUCCUUUAUUAAGAAAAAAAAACAAAAUUCCAGAGAAGACUUCUCGGAUAAAUAGGCUAGUUUUGCAACUGGCCGAAGUUUGUUAGAAAUUUGACUUUUUAUAGAAGACUUCUAGAGAAGUCUUCUCUGGAAAAAUCAGAUAUAGCCAAUGCAAAAGUAUUCCAGGUAGACUUCUUGCGACAUUGAAAGACUUCUAUAGAAGUCUUCUAUAAAAAGUCAAGUUUCUGACAAACUUCAGUAAAUUGCAAAACUAACAUGUUUAUCCGAGAAGACUUCUUCUCUGCAUUUUCGAGAAUUUUUCAAAUUAAAAAUUAAACCAAUAUUUACAAAGGAGAAAUUCUCAAGAUGUUUUCUGUAGAGUAGACUUCUUAAGAUGUCUUCCUUCGUAAAUUUGCAAUUGCAAAAAUGAUCUAAAUAGAAGACUUCUUAAGAAGUCUUCUCGGAGAAGACUUAUAACGUCAAUGUUUAAUAAAAUUUUAUUUUCUCUACAAUUAAAAUGACUUUUUAAUAUUUUCUUAUUAAUUCAUGUGUAUUUGUCAAUAUUGGAGCUCUUGGAUGAAAUUCAUAACUUAUUUAUUGAUAAUUAUGAGAUUUCAAAUAUUUAUGUUUACUAAUGUUUCUAGCUAAUCCGAGAAGACUUCUGGAGAAGUCUUCUCUAGAUGACUUAUGGAGAAGUAUUCUAUGUAAGAUUUUCAAGAGUGUUAAGUAACUUCAAGGUAUGCUUUUAACUUUCGAAAGUGUUAAGUAACUUCAAUAAUAUCAAAUCAUGUGGUUUAAUCUGUCUCUUUAGAUUAUAAGAUAUAAUUUUUAACUUACAUGAGAUUUAAAGUUUCAACUUUUACUUAAAAUUCAAGUUUGAUCUUUUGUGAAUUUGAUUAAGUUUUCUUGUGAAGUAUUCUCUCUUAGUUUUAGUAAAUUUGACUAAGUUUUUUUUGUUAUUAUGUUUUGUUAUGAGUGGGUAAAAUGGUUUAAAAAAAAUUUGGUAUGUUGUAUCAAUAACUUCAAUAAUGUCAAGUACUUUGGGCAAAACAUGAAAAUAUAUACUAAAUUCUUUUGAUUAACAUCUUUUCAAGUUUAUAAAAUAAUUCACAACUAAAAUAAUACACAUACAAAUCAUAAAAUAGACCACAAACAAAACCAUUACACAUGGAGCUAGAUAUAAUUCCUCCACAUAGAUAAGCUUGGACUCCACUUGACAUCAUUCUUUUGUACCACCUUGGACAGAAGACUUCGGAAGACUUCCCGAAUACUUCGCGGGAAGUCGUCUAGCACAAAAUACAUUAGAAGAGUUCCCAAGAAGUUUUCCAAGAGUCUUCUGAGAAGUUUUCCAAACUCUGACUCAGAUAUGAAAAAUAUGCAUAUUCAAAAACAUUCAAAUGGCUUCAAAACAGAGAAAGCUUCAAAAAUAAUUUUUUUAUUUUUAAUUAAUAAACAAAAAAAUUAAAUUAGGUUGAAUCUAUAACUUUUUAGAAUCUAGUAUAUAAACACACACAAAAUACAUAUCCAAAAUUUGUACCACUUUGGGCAGAAGACUUCGGAAGACUUCCUGAAGAUUUUGUGGAAAGUCUCCUAGCAUAAAAUGCAUUAGAAGACUUGCCUAAUGUAUUCUGAAAAGUCUUCCGAGAGUCUUCUGAGAAGUCUUUCAAAGUCUCUCUUAGAUCUGAAAACCCUACAAAUUCAAAAACUUUCAAAUAGCUUCAAAACAGAGAAAAACUUCAAAAAUAUAGUUUUAUGCUUAAAUAAUAAACGAAACAGUCACAUUAAGUAGAAUCUAUAGCAUUUUAGAAUCUAAUAUAUAAAACACACAAUAAUACAUAUCCAAAAUUUAUAGAUCUACCUUUGAAUAAGUGAAAGAUGAGAACCAUAUAAUGAAAAAUCUGCAAAAAGAAGAUAAAUUAGUGAGAAGACAUAAGAAAAAAAUGAGAAAUAGAUUUAAAGUUUGGUGUUUUGAUGUUCAAAGAGAUUAGAAAGAGGUUAGAGAGUUUUAGAGUGAGAAACAUUACAUUUUUGUUGCAGCUAUUUGAGAGCAAGAAAGAGAAUGUGUAAAUUUUCUUUAUAUAUAGAGACAAAAGUUCCAAUUAGGUUAAAUAUUUUCGAUACAGAAGACUUCUUGGGAAGUCUUCUAAGAGAAUUUACAUGAUAAGAUUCUGGAAGACUUCGCUUCAGGCGGAAAACCUAAAUUCUACUAAAAUUUAGGCGGGAAUAUGUCAGAGGACUUUUUGGAAGUCUUCUAGAAGUUUUUCAGACCAUAACCUAAUAAAAUAACUAACUAGAUAGGAAAAACAAUUCAUUAAACUUAAAAUCAACUUAUAAAGCGUUUAAUAUACACAAAACUAAACACUUAUAUAUCAAUUUUUCUUAAAAAGAAAUUAAGAUUCUAAAAUUAAACCCUAAAUACAAACAAUAUUAUAACAUAUGUUACUAAACCCUAAACCAAAGUCUAGGAGUCUUCCAAACUCUAUAAUCAAAUAACUAAGCAAAAACACUUACUUAAACUUAAAAGAAACUAAGAAAGUGUUUAAAUAAAGUACUUAGAUAGUCACUGAAUACAUAUAUGUCAAACUAAAAAAAAAAUUAAAAAGAUAAUAUUUCAAAAUCUAACCCUAAAAAUACCAACAAUACUAUAACAUAUGUUACCAAACCCUAAACCAAAUGCUAUCAUGACUUAAUCUACAUCCAUUCAUCUAUGUUAAAAAUAAUUUAAUUUUAGUAAAACUAAAUUUCCAUCAUUUAAAAAUGUUUAUUAAUACAUGAUUUUGAUUAUUUUUUUUCUCUUUCAAAAUAUUUUUUUAUAAAAUUUAUUAAUUAGUUUUAAGAUCUAAUACAAGAGAAGACUUCUCCAAGAAGACUUCUGGAAGACUUUGAUAUAGGCGGGAACCCAAAAUUCUACUAAAAUUUAGGUGGGAUGUGUCAGAAGACUUCUUGGGAAGUCUUCUGUGAGUAUUCCAGACUUUAUAAUCAAAUAACUAAACAAAAAAGCAUUUCCUUAAAGUUUUAAGAUACUUAGAAAAUGUUUAAGUCAAGUUAUUAGAUAAUCACUAAACACAUAUAGGUCAAAACAAAUUUAAAAAUAAAAGAUAAGAUUUUAAAAUAUAACCCUAAAUAUACCAACAAUAUUAUAACAUAUGUUACUAAACCCUAAACCAAUGACUAUCAUGAGUUAAUCUACUUUCACUCAUCUAUGUUGAAAAUAAUUCAAUUUUAGUACAAAUAAAUUUACAUCAUUUAGAAAUGUUUAUUAUUACUAGAUUUUAAUUUUUUUCCCAUCAAAAUAUUUUUUAUAAAAAUUUUAAAUUAUUUUUAAAAUCUACUGAAAGAGAAGACUUACAAAGAAGUCUUCUCUAAGAAGAAUUAUUUGUUAGUAUUCUCAUGUGAAGGGUUAUAAUGUUAAAACUCAAUACAUGUUUUUUGUUUAGUCAUGAGGAGGUUGUUGUAAUUUCACUAGCCUUUUGGGUUACGUUUGCAUUUGAUUAAAUUUGGGGUAUACUUUUGUAUUCAAAAUCAAGUUUUGAGUCAUUUUUGGCAAUUUCCCCUAUAAAUUUUGUUAAUCUUUUAUUAUCGUACAUUUUAAAAGUUUAUUAUAGCGUAAAAAAUAUAUCUCAUUAAUUUUUAAAUAUUUUUUUCUUACUUUCAAUAUAUAUAAUAUUUUUCAUCUUUGACUUUAUGAAUUGUAGAGAUGGACAUUUUUAUUGAACUUUCUUACUAAAUUUAUCUUAACAUUUUAAAAACACAUAAAACAAAUUAGUUCACAUUUAUAGUAACACAAAAAAGUGUAUGUACCUCGACAAAUAAAUAAAAAUUAAAUACAUAAGAAUAUAAAAAUACCAAGAACACGACAAACAUAUUUUAUUAUUUUUCCCUCUUGUUCUUUUAUUUAUGUCUGUUUUUUUCCCAUUAAAAAUAUGCAUGUUAAUUUUAUUAUAAUUCAAUGUAUAUGAAUUAUAUUAAUAGAGUAUUAACUAUAGAAAAAUCUUGUGAAAAAAUUCUUUGAUUAAUAUAAUUAAAUUUCUUACUAUAUAAUUAAUUAAAUGAAUUACCAAAUAAUAUAAUUUUAAAUUACUUACCAUAUAAUAAUGUUAAUUCAUCUGUUUAUAUUAAUAGAUGAAUUAAACAAACUUUUUCUUGAUUAAUAUACGUUUAAAUAACUUACCACAAAAUUUUUAUUUUUUAAAAUAUAAAAAUAUUUUAAUCAUUUCUAAAGUGAUAACGCAUAUAUAAUAUCACAUUGUCAUUGGAAAAUGAUUAGGAUUUUUAGAAUUAUAUAUUUGACUGUUUUGCAUUCAUUUGACACAUUUUUAUACUAUAUAUAGUGAAUGAGUGAAUUUAAUUAAUAUUAUUAAGUUUAGUUAAUUAUUUUUCUUAAAUAUAUGAUUUAUUUUAUUCUCUACUAAUAUAAACAUAAUAAAAACCGUUUUUAUAAUUGAUACUAUACUAUCAUAUGUAUUUAUAUGUAUCUUAUCAAUUUAUAUAAUGUAAUCUAGAUAUUUAAUUAUUUCUAUAAACAAAUUAUGUUAAUUCAUCUAUAUUUAAGAUGUUUAAUUGUAUGUUUGGAAACAUAUGUUAGAUUAGAUAAUUCUAUGAAUUAUUUCUUUUUAAAAACUUUAAUUAAAUAAAUAAAAAAUGAAAAACAAUCAACAAAUCAAAUUAUAAUAAUUAAUUUGAGAGUUUUUUUUAUGAGCGAAACAUUAACAUAAAUCACAAAAUAACUUUUCAAUUAAUAUAUAGGAGGAUUUAUAAGAAGUAUAAUAGAAAUUAUGUAUGUUUGAAGACUUUUAAAAACAAAAAAAAAUAACUUGGACUUUCAAUUUAUCAAAAAUGUUAAAAGAUAUUACCAAAAAUCUUGAUUUAUCAAUCAAUAAAUUAACUAAUAUGUAAAAUAAAAUUUUCUAAAUGAGGCAAGUAAUUAAUAAUUGGGAUAUUUAGUUUCUAAACAUUUAUUUGUAAAUACGUUAUCAAACAAGAUAAAUGUAUACAUGAUACUAUUAUAGUAGAACAUCUAUAAAUUAAUAAGCGAUAAAUUAAUAAUCUAUAUAAAUUAAUAAAUUUCUAUGAUUCCGAUUUGUGCGAGUUCAAAAUUUGACAAAAAUCGAUAAAA